GCCUUUGCCACCCUCCAGCGGGCACAAGAAAGAGGCAGGCAUUCCUCAGGCCUUAUCUCUCUGGUUCUGUCUGCUACAUAUGACACCUUGCGAUGGCUCUCACCUUCUGGAAUCUCUCUACUACCUUGGUUUCAGGAGAGUGAACCCUCUCAAUUAUCACAUGAAGGGAACACGAUGCACAUGGAUGAUCAAUGGUCAGUUCCUGGUCAAUGUAAGUAAACAAGCCUGUUUAAGAUAAAUUCCCCCACACUGCCUUGUACUACUCCUUGCCCUCUGCCUUAAGGUUAUAGAACAGCUGCCUUCUGCUAUUCUUCCCCGAGGCUCUGCAGAACCUUCUGACCUUUCAGAAGGUUUGCGUCCUUUCUCUCUAUAGUUUUUCCACCACUCUGACGAAUCCCCCACAAUGUAUCGCUUUGUAUGCAAAGCCAGGCCUGUCCAUGCAGGGUGACAAUCCAAGGUAGACAGUGGCAAAAUCUGGUGGAGGCAUCAGAGACAGUGCCAUCAGUUCGCUGGAAUAAGCGUAUCAAGGAGCCUGGCAGAUCUACACUUUACCAGACAGUGCCCAUGGCCAACAGGGCAGGCCCUUGCUGCAGAGAAACACUCAGAAAUCAAAACUCCUUGCUCUGCUGUCACGGACCUCUCCAGGAGAUCCUCAGUGUCAUCAGAAGCUGAAAAAGCAGUGCUGAGAAAUGUAGCCUGCCAUCUUUCCAGCUAAGGGAGGUGGCCCAUUCAACCCUGGGUUGUCCUCUGCAAAUGUACUGCUACAGGUCGCAUGGCACCAUCUUCUGAUUGCAAUUGGCUUUCCUGAGGGAGUGAACUGACUGAAAUGGGAUGGUAAUAAGUUGCUAGGUUAUUUUCCACUUUUUAGUUUAUGAGGCUUAUUGAUUUUGCUUUAACAUUAACUACUGCCUUCCUUUUAAGGAGCUGGUGAGGCAGAGCAUGGCAGCAGGUUGAGGGUGGGGAAGUGGCACCACCUCCUUUUGGGGAGGAUUUGGGAGGGUGAAAAGCACCCUCAUCUUCUCAGCUGCGUGUGAACAAACCACCUGUCAAGGUGGGUCCUUCAUCUAUAGGAGGAUGAUGUCAGCCCUUCAGGGAGGUCUGUUUUCUUCCUCCAUUUCCCAACCCCUUCAUUAUCAUUCCUUCCACAACAGAGUAAGUUUCUUGAGCAAAGCAGCAAUAUCUAGCAAUUUUAGAUAGACAUUUACCUUUUGACCUAGAAAUCUCACUUCUACGAAUCCAUCCUGAAGACACUCUCAGCUGGAUGUGGUCGCUCAUGCCUGUGAUCCUAACACUUUGGGAGGCUAAAGCAGGAGAAUCACUUGGGCUCAGGAGCUCAAGACCAGCCUGGGCAACAUAGCAAGACCCUAUCUCUACAAAAAAAAAAA
ensembl:lncRNA